rnacentral:rRNA from 1 species
UACGUAGGGUGCAAGCGUUGUCCGGAAUUAUUGGGCGUAAAGAGCUCGUAGGCGGUCUGUCGCGUCGGAUGUGAAAACCCAGGGCUCAACCCUGGGCCUGCAUUCGAUACGGGCAGACUAGAGUUCGGUAGGGGGAGACUGGAAUUCCUGGUGUAGCGGUGAAAUGCGCAGAUAUCAGGAGGAACACCGGUGGCGAAGGCGGGCUCUGGGGCCGAUACUGACGCUGAGGAGCGAAAGCGUGGGGAGCAAACAGG